UUUUGUAUAAUGGGUCAGCGACUUAUAUUCUGUAGCAAGGUUAACCGAAUAGGGGAGCCGAAGGGAAACCGAGUCUUAACUGGGCGUUAAGUUGCAGGGUAUAGACCCGAAACCCGGUGAUCUAGCCAUGGGCAGGUUGAAGGUUGGGUAACACUAACUGGAGGACCGAACCGACUAAUGUUGAAAAAUUAGCGGAUGACUUGUGGCUGGGGGUGAAAGGCCAAUCAAACCGGGAGAUAGCUGGUUCUCCCCGAAAGCUAUUUAGGUAGCGCCUCGUGAACUCAUCUCCGGGGGUAGAGCACUGUUUCGGCAAGGGGGUCAUCCCGACUUACCAACCCGAUGCAAACUGCGAAUACCGGAGAAUGUUAUCACGGGAGACACACGGCGGGUGCUAACGUCCGUCGUGAAGAGGGAAACAACCCAGACCGCCAGCUAAGGUCCCAAAGUCAUGGUUAAGUGGGAAACGAUGUGGGAAGGCCCAGACAGCCAGGAUGUUGGCUUAGAAGCAGCCAUCAUUUAAAGAAAGCGUAAUAGCUCACUGGUCGAGUCGGCCUGCGCGGAAGAUGUAACGGGGCUAAACCAUGCAC
rnacentral:rRNA from 1 species